rnacentral:sRNA from 1 species
UUGAUUUGGAUUCCAUUUGGACAUUUAUCUUUGGAGUUCCUGCCUCCAGUGGAACUGUGGUCUCUUCUAUCCAUAACGUAUGCACAGAAGCUGUUUUUUUAUUAUUGGGAAUGCUCCGCAGCAUGCUGAAUUCACCUUGGCAAUCAGAAGAAGAGGGAUCUUGGCUCCGAGAAUAUCCUGUGACCCUGAUGCAGUUCUUCAGAUAUUUGUAUCACAACGUCCCAGACCUUGCCUCCAUGUGGAUGAGCCCUGACUUCCUGUGUGCAUUAGCAGCCACGGUCUUCCCCUUCAAUAUUCGCCCUUACUCAGAGAUGGUGACUGACCUUGAUGAUGAAGUUGGAUCUCCAGCAGAAGAGUUUAAAGCAUUUGCAGCAGACACAGGGAUGAACAGGAGCCAAUCAGAGUACUGCAAUGUGGGCACCAAGACAUAUCUGACCAAUCACCCGGCUAAAAAGUUCGUUUUUGACUUCAUGCGGGUCUUAAUCAUAGACAACCUCUGUCUCACUCCUGCCAGCAAGCAAACUCCACUAAUUGAUCUUUUGUUGGAGGUAAAGAAAAAGAAACGCAUUUACAUCUCUUUUGCAUUACUUUUUAAAUUAGAACAUUAGUAACCAAGCAAGUUCUAUAACAAAGAUUUCUAAUUCCUCUUGUUUAUGUGUAGGCAGAACAUGUUAUAGGCUGUGGAAAGUUCUUAAUCCCACAUGUGCUUUCAACCCUAUCAGUUUGUUCUUUUCCUUCCCUCAAGGAUGUCUCUAAUUCAGUCCUUUAUCAUCCUUUCUCUAA